UGCAAGUCGAGUGCGCGGUGCCGUAGCAAUACGGUACUGGCGCACGGCGCACGGGUGCGUAACACGUGGGUAAUCUGCCCUCUGAUGGGGAAUAACCCGCCGAAAGGCGGGCUAAUACCGCAUAACAUUCCUUGGACUCCGGUUCGAGGAUUCAAAGGCGUAAGUCGUCGGAGGUGGAGCCCGCGCCCGAUUAGCUAGUUGGUGAGGUAACGGCUCACCAAGGCUUUGAUCGGUAGCUGGUCUGAGAGGAUGGCCAGCCACACUGGAACUGAGACACGGUCCAGACUCCUACGGGAGGCAGCAGUGGGGAAUCUUGCGCAAUGGGCGAAAGCCUGACGCAGCGACGCCGCGUGGGGGAUGAAGCUUCUCGGAGCGUAAACCCCUUUCGACUGGGACGAAUGCCCGCAAGGGAGUGACGGUACCAGUAGAAGAAGCCCCGGCUAACUACGUGCCAGCAGCCGCGGUAAGACGUAGGGGGCCAGCGUUGUUCGGAAUUACUGGGUGUAAAGGGUUCGUAGGCGGUGUGGCAAGUCGGGAGUGAAAUCUUUGGGCCUUAACUCAAAGGCUGCUUCCGAAACUGCUGUGCUG
rnacentral:rRNA from 1 species